GAUGAACGCUGGCGGCGUGCCUAAUACAUGCAAGUCGAGCGAACGGACGAGAAGCUUGCUUUUCUGAUGUUAGCGGCGGACGGGUGAGUAACACGUGGAUAACCUACCUAUAAGACUGGGAUAACUUCGGGAAACCGGAGCUAAUACCGGAUAAUAUUUUGAACCGCAUGGUUCAAAAGUGAAAGACGGUCUUGCUGUCACUUAUAGAUGGAUCCGCGCUGCAUUAGCUAGUUGGUAAGGUAACGGCUUACCAAGGCAACGAUGCAUAGCCGACCUGAGAGGGGGAUCGGCCACACUGGAAGUGAGACCGGGUCCAGACCCCUACGGGAGGCAGCAGGAGGGAAUCUUCCGCAAGGGGCGAAAGCCUGACGGAGCAACGCCGGGGGAGGUAUGAAGGGCUUCGGAUCGUAAAACCUUUUUAUUAGGGAAGAACAGAUGGGUAAGUAACGGGGCCCAUCUUGACGGUACCUAAGCAGAAAGCCACGGCUAACUACGG
rnacentral:rRNA from 1 species